rnacentral:rRNA from 1 species
UACAGAGGUCCCAAGCGUUGUUCGGAUUCACUGGGCGUAAAGGGUGCGUAGGCGGUCGGGUAAGUCUGGCGUGAAAUCUCCAAGCCUAACUUGGAAACUGCGUUGGAUACUAUCCGGCUCGAGGAAUGGAGGGGAGACUGGAAUACUUGGUGUAGCAGUGAAAUGCGUAGAUAUCAAGUGGAACACCAGUGGCGAAGGCGAGUCUCUGGACAUUUCCUGACGCUGAGGCACGAAAGCUAGGGGAGCAAACAGG